rnacentral:rRNA from 1 species
AAAGAAACCAACAGGGAUUGCCUCAGUAACGGCGAGUGAAGCGGCAAAAGCUCAAAUUUGAAAUCUGGCCCUUUCAGGGUCCGAGUUGUAAUUUGCAGAGGAUGCUUCGGGAGCGGCGGCGGUCUAAGUCCCCUGGAACGGGGCGUCGCAGAGGGUGAGAAUCCCGUCUUGGACCGCAUGCCCGUGACCGUGUGAAGCUCCUUCGACGAGUCGAGUUGUUUGGGAAUGCAGCUCAAAAUGGGUGGCAAAUUUCAUCUAAAGCUAAAUACUGGCUGGAGACCGAUAGCGCACAAGUAGAGUGAUCGAAAGGUUAAAAGCACCUUGAAAAGGGAGUUAAAUAGCACGUGAAAUUGUUGAAAGGGAAGCGCUUGCAACCAGACUCGGCCGUGGAGGCUCAGUGGGCACGUGUGCCCAUGCACUCCUUCGCGGCCGGGCCAGCAUCAGUUCUGACGGCCGGUCAAAGGCCCCUGGAAUGUAUCCUCCUCCGGGAGGUCUUAUAGCCAGGGGUGCAAUGCGGUCAGUCGGGACUGAGGAACGCGCUUCGGCACGGAUGCUGGCGUAAUGGUUGUAAGCGAC